CCCAGGCCCCUCCCUCCCCGAGAGUCCACCAGCCCCCCAGAGUCUGGGAGGGCUCCUUUCGAUGCCCUGCAGAUGAUGAAGAGAGGAAAGGAGCAGGAAACUUUUCUGGCCAGGCCCGGAGAUGCUGCACAACAUUUCUGUCCACCGUGUUCUGUUGGGUGUAUGUGAGCCUACCUGCAAGGGAGGCUGGGCAACGUGGCCUAGAUGGGCCCCCAGGAGGAAGAAGGAACAGAUGUAGUGAGCAUCUGCCCGGAAUCUGCGGCAACCCUCAUCAGUAGAUUGUUUAGCUCUGAAACAGACCAAGGGGGAGGAAAAGGCGGUAUUGUCACCAACAGUUGGAGGCUCCCAGGAAAUUAUACAGGAUGACACCAAGCUGAAGGGGACCCCUGGGUCAGAGCCUGCUUGCUGGCCCGAGUUUGCCCAGAUCCUUUCUGACCCUAGGGUGGACAGAGACACAGUGCCUUGGAGAAUGAUGGAAGCUCUUGGACCUUCAUCACAAAACACACAGACAUGCCAUCUUAUGGGUGUAAUGUUGAGCAGCUCACAGGCUCCCUGGAGGCCAGAGCACAGAUGCUGGAGCUUGGGCCCAGAGGUUGUUGUGCACGGGCAUAUUUGCCUCAUGGCAUGUGAGCUCUUAUUUCCCGGACCAGGGAUCGAUCCUGUGUCCCCUGUGCUGGCAGGAAGAUUCUUAUUCACGGUGCCACCAGGGGAGUCUCCACACUCUGUUAAAUGAUCCAUCGCCAGUGUGAAAUUCUCCAUAAUUUUGAAUGAGGGCUGACUUCAUUUUGCACAGGGCCCUGCAAAUGAUGUGUCUGGACCAGGUGGCCAAAGUGCUGAAGCUUCAGCUUCAGCACCAAAGGAGAGGACACGUCAGAGGAAGAAGACCUCCAUGUGUCUAUGGAGGCAGACACUGGGGUGACAAGGCCACACGCUGGGGACACCUGGAGCCUGAGAAGCUG
ensembl:lncRNA